GAUGAACGCUGGCGGCGUGCUUAAUACAUGCAAGUCGAGCGAACGGACGAUUACCUUGCUUCUCUGAUGUUAGCGGCGGACGUGUGAGUUACACGUUGAUACCUUCCCUAUAAGACUGGGGUAACUUCGUGAAUCCGGUGCUAAUACCGGCUAAUAUUUUGAACCGCAUGUUUCAAAAUUGUUAGACGUUCUUGCUGUCACUUAUCUAUGGAUACGCGCUACAUUAGCUAGUUGGUCAGGUAACGGCUUACCAAGGCAACGAUGCAUAGCCAAGCUGAGAGGGGGAAGGGCCACACUGGAGCUGGGACACGGUCCAGAGUCCGAAGGGAGGCAGAAGUAGGGAAUGUUCGGAAAAGGGCGAAAGACUGAAGGAGCAGCGCAGCGUGAGUGAUGAAGGUCUGCGGAGCGUAAGACUGUGUUAGUAGGGAAGAACAUAUGUGUAAGGAACUGUGCACAUCGUGACGGUACCUAAUCAGGAAGCCACGGCUAACUACGUG
rnacentral:rRNA from 1 species